rnacentral:rRNA from 1 species
UUAAGCGACUAAGCGUACACGGUGGAUGCCCUGGCAGUCAGAGGCGAUGAAGGACGUGCUAAUCUGCGAUAAGCGUCGGUAAGGUGAUAUGAACCGUUAUAACCGGCGAUUUCCGAAUGGGGAAACCCAGUGUGUUUCGACACACUAUCAUUAACUGAAUCCAUAGGUUAAUGAGGCGAACCGGGGGAACUGAAACAUCUAAGUACCCCGAGGAAAAGAAAUCAACCGAGAUUCCCCCAGUAGCGGCGAGCGAACGGGGAGCAGCCCAGAGCCUGAAUCAGUAUGUGUGUUAGUGGAAGCGUCUGGAAAGGCGCGCGAUACAGGGUGACAGCCCCGUACACAAAAAUGCACAUAUUGUGAGCUCGAUGAGUAGGGCGGGACACGUGGUAUCCUGUCUGAAUAUGGGGGGACCAUCCUCCAAGGCUAAAUACUCCUGACUGACCGAUAGUGAACCAGUACCGUGAGGGAAAGGCGAAAAGAACCCCGGCGAGGGGAGUGAAAAAGAACCUGAAACCGUGUACGUACAAGCAGUGGGAGCACGCUUAGGCGUGUGACUGCGUACCUUUUGUAUAAUGGGUCAGCGACUUAUAUUCUGUAGCAAGGUUAACCGAAUAGGGGAGCCGAAGGGAAACCGAGUCUUAACUGGGCGUUAAGUUGCAGGGUAUAGACCCGAAACCCGGUGAUCUAGCCAUGGGCAGGUUGAAGGUUGGGUAACACUAACUGGAGGACCGAACCGACUAAUGUUGAAAAAUUAGCGGAUGACUUGUGGCUGGGGGUGAAAGGCCAAUCAAACCGGGAGAUAGCUGGUUCUCCCCGAAAGCUAUUUAGGUAGCGCCUCGUGAAUUCAUCUCCGGGGGUAGAGCACUGUUUCGGCAAGGGGGUCAUCCCGACUUACCAACCCGAUGCAAACUGCGAAUACCGGAGAAUGUUAUCACGGGAGACACACGGCGGGUGCUAACGUCCGUCGUGAAGAGGGAAACAACCCAGACCGCCAGCUAAGGUCCCAAAGUCAUGGUUAAGUGGGAAACGAUGUGGGAAGGCCCAGACAGCCAGGAUGUUGGCUUAGAAGCAGCCAUCAUUUAAAGAAAGCGUAAUAGCUCACUGGUCGAGUCGGCCUGCGCGGAAGAUGUAACGGGGCUAAACCAUGCACCGAAGCUGCGGCAGCGACACUAUGUGUUGUUGGGUAGGGGAGCGUUCUGUAAGCCUGUGAAGGUGUGCUGUGAGGCAUGCUGGAGGUAUCAGAAGUGCGAAUGCUGACAUAAGUAACGAUAAAGCGGGUGAAAAGCCCGCUCGCCGGAAGACCAAGGGUUCCUGUCCAACGUUAAUCGGGGCAGGGUGAGUCGACCCCUAAGGCGAGGCCGAAAGGCGUAGUCGAUGGGAAACAGGUUAAUAUUCCUGUACUUGGUGUUACUGCGAAGGGGGGACGGAGAAGGCUAUGUUGGCCGGGCGACGGUUGUCCCGGUUUAAGCGUGUAGGCUGGUUUUCCAGGCAAAUCCGGAAAAUCAAGGCUGAGGCGUGAUGACGAGGCACUACGGUGCUGAAGCAACAAAUGCCCUGCUUCCAGGAAAAGCCUCUAAGCAUCAGGUAACAUCAAAUCGUACCCCAAACCGACACAGGUGGUCAGGUAGAGAAUACCAAGGCGCUUGAGAGAACUCGGGUGAAGGAACUAGGCAAAAUGGUGCCGUAACUUCGGGAGAAGGCACGCUGAUAUGUAGGUGAAGUCCCUCGCGGAUGGAGCUGAAAUCAGUCGAAGAUACCAGCUGGCUGCAACUGUUUAUUAAAAACACAGCACUGUGCAAACACGAAAGUGGACGUAUACGGUGUGACGCCUGCCCGGUGCCGGAAGGUUAAUUGAUGGGGUUAGCGCAAGCGAAGCUCUUGAUCGAAGCCCCGGUAAACGGCGGCCGUAACUAUAACGGUCCUAAGGUAGCGAAAUUCCUUGUCGGGUAAGUUCCGACCUGC